UGACCUCAAAUCAGGUAGGACUACCCGCUGAAAUUUAAGCAUAUCA
rnacentral:rRNA from 1 species